rnacentral:rRNA from 1 species
UACGUAGGGGGCAAGCGUUGUCCGGAAUCAUUGGGCGUAAAGCGCGCGUAGGCGGCCCGGUCAGUCCGUUGUGAAAGUCAAAGGCUCAACCUUUGAAUGCCGACGGAUACUGCCGGGCUAGAGUCCGGAAGAGGCGAGUGGAAUUCCUGGUGUAGCGGUGGAAUGCGCAGAUAUCAGGAGGAACACCGGUGGCGAAGGCGGUUCUCUGGGCAUUACCUGACGCUGAGGAGCGAAAGUGUGGGAGCGAACAGG